UCCCUUCCUGCGCCCUCUCUACCUCUCUCUCUCUCUCUCUCUCUCUCUCUCUCUCUCUUUGCUUCUCCCCACAAAAGAAGUCAAGACAGUCCUCUUCGUAUCCAAGGAUAUAAAGUGCUUUCUUCUUUGUUUGCCUAUAAAAAUUAAAAUCCCAGUUUCUUCUUCAUCUCUUUUUUACAUUUCAUAGUUAUAGAGAACAUAUUGUAGUAGAGAGAGGGGGAUUAUAGAUGCUUGGCAAGUGGUAAAAAUCGAUGCUCAAUAGCUGUAGUAGUAGCACAUGUAGGAAGGGGAAUGCAAUGGCUCUUCAUCAUUCUUCUGCAAAAGUUGUUCGAUGAGUCUAGCCAGAAUUAGGAGAGCAAUUAGUUUCAAAUGCAUUUUCUUUUUAAUUCUUACUAUUGGUGUUUUCUUUUCUUAUGUACUAUGGAUCCCUCCUUUUAAUCCGUUGAAAUCUGUUGUUGAUGCCUAUGUUGCACCUAACCUCAAUGGUACGUAUGUUUGUCUCCUGCCCCUUGUUCUCUGCUUAGUAGUUGGUGCAUAUUUUUGUUAGAACUCAUUCAACCAAGAGUUCAUAGUGGAGUAAUGCCUAGAGCUAGCUGCUGAAAUAGCAAGUUGUUUUUAGAAGCCCACAUGAGAGAGGGAGUGCAUGGUUUCAGAUUUAAUGGUUUGUAAAACAGAGGUUGAUGGAGCCUCUGGUUUCCUUAACCAUGAAGGAAGGCCCCCAACUAGGCGGUUUGGGCUCUAUAAAUAGAACCCCAUACACACGCACUAGCCAUCCAUUGGUUGAGAGAAACCAUGACUAGAGAGAAGAGUCUCCCUUGUGCUCUGUUUCCGGUUUUGUAGUUCAACAAGGAUAACACUGUUCUUUGGUUUGGUUUCUUGUAGAGAAGAGUAGAGGAGAAGAUGACAAAGCCAAAGAGGUGUUUCUAAAGGUCUCUAACACUGGAAUAGAGCCAUGAACACUAGCUUUAAAUCAAUAGCUCAAGAUAAAAUUCAUUGAUAAUACAGAUGUCAUUGGAAUUGAUCAUCAAAUUGCACAUCUUGGAUUUGAGUUGCCUUCAACAUUUGUUAUAGUGAUUUCCAAGAUUGUAGUGAUUCACUGAUUCAGUCUCCUGACUACGAGAGGACAGAUCAGGUCAGGGAUGGAUACAAUGACUUCAAUACAUUCUACAUGCAAGUAAGUAGCUGAUUUGAUAAGAGGAAGUGACAUAAUGUUACGGUUCUGCUAAUAAAUAAAAAUGAUGUAUUAGUACACCUUGUUUGGAUUAUUCUUAAUAAAUCAUUCUAGGUCUCAACAUCUGGGGUUAUUGAGCAAAUUAUUAUUAUUAGCUUAAAUUUCUUAUUCAACUUCAAAUGGUAACUGAACUCUUCAUUCUAAAGAACGCAUGUGGAUGCACUCUGUUUCUAACCCGGUACCCUACAAUUGGAAGUUUGUUUGAGGUAUUCAUUCAAAACAAAUUUGUAUGAUUCAGGUAUAUGACCCUCUCUCUGUCUCAAAAAAAAAAAUGUAGUAUCUUGCAAACUGAUAUAACUUUAGUAUGUUCAUUCUUUUUCUAACUGAGGAAAUAUCAUGUACUGCAAUAUUUUAAAAAUUAUAUUGCAUUACUUUAUUAUGGCAGAAAAUUUUGUUGGAGGAGCAAGUGGAGAAAGAUGGACCUGCAUUUGUGCUGCUGAGGGAUUUCCCACAACAACAGUUGCUAUUUAUGAUUUUACUUGUUUCACAGCUUGCAACUGCACAUCUGAUUUGAGUACAAAACUGGAGCUGGGACAGUGUUGCAGAGACUAUACUCAAACCUCCCAAACAUUCAAAUGGGUCUUGUUGAGGACAAGAGGAGUUGGACUGUUGAGGUUGAUAGAGCCUUCUCUUGAUUUGAUAAUAAAAAGAGAACAAGAGAAAAAUGAAAAAUGUGGUUCACAUAUACAGAAUGUAAAGGUUAACAUUGUUGUCUUUUACUUUUAUCUUAUGAAUGUAUUGUUUAAACAUAAGUGAAAUUAUCAAUU